ACCUGUGUGGCGCAGUGGUUAGAGCAUCAGACUAGGACCAGGGAGACCAGGGUUCAAAUUCCUGCGCAAGGCA